CUGACAGGCAGACAUAUACAGAACUGAGGGAGUUUGAAACUUCCAGCGAUACAUCCCCGCAGGGUAAUAUUGCAUAUGAAAGUCUUCAAGUAAGAACGCCACAAGUAUAUGAAGACAUUAAAAGAGCGACACCUGUGCAUGAAACAGAAAACAGCUGAGGUGAAUCAUUGGUUUUCCGUGUUUGUCACGGGUACCACCAUAGAGUCAGGAUGCGCUCACCUCAUCGCGAACACUCGAUAUCAUAACUAUUUGAUAGAGAUUAUUUAACACAUGCUCAUGCUAAGGUCGGAAUCGUACGAUAGACUUCUAUAGUCGUUAUUUAUUUGGUUUUAUUCGUAUAUAUUUUGACAGUAGAGAAAUAGAAGGAGCUCUUGACGUAUUCAAACGGUAUUGAGCAUAAAUCAGAUAAUGUAUCUGUCAAUUAAAGAGCGAUACAUUUGUUUAUGUCUAUAGCAUAGACUAUUUGUAUUUACGAUGUGAAAAUAUUGAAAUUUUAAUUUCCUUAAAACUAAAAUAUGUUUUAAAUAUAUGUUCAAUGCAUAAUACUUAUUAAGUGGGUAUCAACACCAUGCAGCUAUACAGUAUAACAGAUUGUGAGGGUAUAAUCAAUGUUCAAUUCAAAACGGUCAAAGCAAUCAUUUUCAUUAGAAGAUAACUUUAAGCAUUCAUUAUCUUUGUCACCAGCAUUCUUUUCAUGUUCUAGUACCUGUGUUUGUUUUUGAGAA